rnacentral:rRNA from 1 species
CCUACGGGGGGCAGCAGUGGGGAAUAUUGGGCAAUGGGCGCAAGCCUGACCCAGCAAAGCCGCGUGAAGGAAGAAGGCUUUCGGGUUGUAAACUUCUUUUAAGAGGGAAGAGCAGAAGACGAUAUCUCUUGACUAAGCCACGGCUAACUACGUGCCAGCAGCCGCGGUAAUACGUAGGUGGCAAGCGUUGUCCGGAUUUACUGGGUGUAAAGGGCGUGUAGCCGGGCUGACAAGUCAGAUGUGAAAUUCCGGGGCUCAACCCCGAACGUGCAUUUGAAACUGUUGGUCUUGAGUAUCGGAGAGGCAGGCGGAAUUCCUAGUGUAGCGGUGAAAUGCGUAGAUAUUAGGAGGAACACCAGUGGCGAAGGCGGCCUGCUGGACGGCAACUGACGGUGAGGCGCGAAAGCGUGGGGAGCAAACAGGAUUAGAUACCCCUGUAGUC